rnacentral:tRNA from 1 species
GGCAGGGUAGCUCAGCUGGUUAGAGCGGGUGAUUCAUAACCACCAGGUCAGCGGUUCGAAUCCGCUCCCUGCCACAA